UAGGAAACCAAAAUCUUUAUUUCAUUAAAACAAUUUUUGAUGAGUAGAUUAUUUGCCAAAAAGAAGAUUACAAAGCUUUGAUCGCUCGAUUUUUAGCAAGAAAAACAAGAUUUAUCCUUUAUUUGAUGAUAAACUCAGGUAAAAUGGGCACCCAGCUUGUCAAAUCUCACUCACAACAGUACCAGUCUACCAGGGCACUAGUGAUUUCCUGUAGGACACUCCCUGUAUAGCUAGAGCUCAUAUGCUUCCAGCUUGCCUAUGAAUUCAUAUCCUUCACACUCACGCAGACGUAGUUCUGUCAUCAAGCUAGGAACCCCAUAAACUCUUGCACCUUUUUAACUCUUCCACGGUAGUUUCAAUAGUAAAUGCAGUUAUGAACAAACCUCAAUCAGCAACUAUACAUAUGUAGUACUCUUUCUGUGCAAUGAAGAUGGUAAACUCCUGUUGUCGUGGUUAAUGUGUCUAUACCUCUAAUAUAAUCACAACUGAAGAUUUAUUUUCUCUGACAUUUUCAAGAUGUCAGAAUGAAUCCUAUCACCUCCAAUCUCAGCACCUGUGGCUCCAGCUGCAACUCUUAGUACGUCUUCAAUAAAAGCAUAAUUUCCCAAGACGUCAACAUGUGAUCCACUCUCUGUAGUUCUUCCCUCAAGCAGGCUUGAUGAUGGUUUGUGUUGAUACUCCCUUAUGUAUGUGCGACUGCCGAAUGGGUUGAACCGGGUUCUUCCUUUCCAACCUUUGGCACACAUAAAGCCAGCACUCAGUGCGGGAACACUUUCAUCCCCAUCAACUAAAUAUACUCCAUUUUUCAAGCAACUACCCUCUUCUCCAUCAACUGAGGUGUCAAUCCGGAAUGGAAUACUCUUGCACCUAUCAGCUGGGCAUAUCUUCAAUACAUAUGACCUUUCAGUAGGAACGCCAACCCCGUAUAAGCAGUAUAUCUCCAUAUCCGGUGCAUCAGGUAACCUGGUUUCUAGUGGGUUAGACCAGUAUAUGUAAUGUUCAUACUUAGGAUCAUCAAGGUUGUCAGCUAUCCCAUGAGAGAAUUGAGACUCAGCACGUUGCAUCAUUUUUGGAGCCACAAAACGAAGUAAAUCAAAAACAGUUGCAGCUGUAAAAGCUUUAUUUUCUGCAAAUUUUCUUAUACUUUCCCUGUUUAUCACAUCAUAUUCAGUCCAAACCUGUCCACAUGAGGACCCUGAAUUCUUGUCCAUAUGCAAACCAAAAAAUUCCUGUUGACAUCUCCUUGUCAUCAUCCAUGUUAUUUAAAUCAAAAGCAUAUGACACUAAAAAUCUAAAUAAAAUAAAAUAUGAGAAUUACACUGGCAUUAAGCGUGGCUUAUUCAAAUUUAGCAUAGUUGGCAAUGUAUGGACUUUAGACUUUCCAAUCCAUGAACCAAACAUAGGAAGCAUUUUUGCUAUCUUGUCCAUAGAUAGGAUCACUAUGUUAGGUUCAUAUAAAAAAGCUAUGUUACUAGGUUUACAUUUUUUGUUUCAUCACCUUAUCAACAUUCAAGGUUUGAGGCAGCAAAAUAAUAGAAUAGUACCUUUGUAUCAAAAGAGGGAAGCUCCGAGGAUGGUAAUUGUGAUGCUGACUUGCCAAAAGAAACUAUCCUUCCAUACUUAUUUGACUCUUUCACUUGUAAACCUCCUUUCACAUCCGUGCUGUUAUCAUUUGUCGAGGUUAGCAGGGAUCUCUUCUUUGAACAA
rnacentral:misc_RNA from 1 species